UACGUAGGGGGCUAGCGUUGUCCGGAUUUAUUGGGCGUAAAGAGCGUGUAGGCGGCCAGGUAGGUCUGCUGUGAAAACUCGAGGCUCAACCUCGAGAUGUCGGCGGAAACCAUCUGGCUAGAGUCCGGAAGAGGAAAGUGGAAUUCCUGGUGUAGCGGUGAAAUGCGCAGAUAUCAGGAAGAACACCCGUGGCGAAGGCGGCUCUCUGGGACGGUACUGACGCUGAGACGCGAAAAGCGUGGGGAGCGAACAGG
rnacentral:rRNA from 1 species